rnacentral:rRNA from 1 species
AAUGAACGCUGGCGGCAUGCCUAACACAUGCAAGUCGAACGAGCGCACGAGAAGCUUUCGCUCCUGCGGGUGGCGGCGGACGGAUGAGUAACACAUGGAUCGCCUACCUCUUAGACUGGGGUGAUAUCGGGGGACAACAUCUACUAACGCAUCAUAUAUCGAACUGCAUGGUGCAAGAGUUAAAGUCGCUUUUGGUGACAGUAAUAGCUGGAUCCGGGUUGCAUUAGUUAGUUGGUAAGGUCACGGCUUAGCAACGCUACGAUGCAUAGCCGACCUGAGGGGGUGAUCGGACACACUGGAACUGAGACACGGUCCAGACUCCUACGGGAGGCAGCAGUAGGGAAUCUUACGCAAUGGGCGAAAGCCUGAUGGAGCAACACCGCGUGAGUGAUGAAGGUCUUCGGCUCGUAAAGCUCUGUUGUUAGGAAAGAAAAAAAGCGUAUUUAACUGUGCAUAUAUUGACGGUACCUAAAGAAUAAGCACCGGCUAACUUCGUG